UCACCGGUAAUGCCGAAUCCCUGCCCGACCUUCGGGCGGGGAGCGGGGAAACCAACAUUUGGGGCGAACCCACCUUGGUGGGGGCGCAGCUCCUUUAGCGCUAGCCCGACAGCUAACCCCGUAGGCCCGACGAAGGAGACUG
rnacentral:sRNA from 2 species